GACGAACGCUGGCGGCGUGCCUAAUACAUGCAAGUCGAGCGAAGUUUUUCUGGUGCUUGCACCGGAAAAACUUAGCGGCGAACGGGUGAGUAACACGUAAAGAACCUGCCUCAUAGACUGGGACAACUAUUGGAAACGAUAGCUAAUACCGGAUAAUAGCAUUAACUGCAUGGUUGAUGUUUAACAGUUGGUUUUGCUAACACUAUGAGAUGGCUUUGCGGUGCAUUAGCUAGUUGGUGGGGUAAAGGCCUACCAAGGCGACGAUGCAUAGCCGACCUGAGAGGGUGAUCGGCCACACUGGGACUGAGACACGGCCCAGACUCCUACGGGAGGCAGCAGUAGGGAAUCUUCCGCAAUGGGCGAAAGCCUGACGGAGCAACGCCGCGUGAGUGAAGAAGGAUUUCGGUUCGUAAAGCUCUGUUGUUAGGAAAGAAUGAUUGUGUAGUAACUAUACACAGUAGAGACGGUACCUAACCAGAAAGCAACGGCUAACUACGUG
rnacentral:rRNA from 1 species